rnacentral:snRNA from 1 species
AGAAUUUCUCGACCUAUGGCUAAGAUCAAAGUGUAGUAUCUGUUCUUAUCAGUUAUUCCUGGUAUAUGUUAUCCCCGUUAUCCGUGGUCUAGUGUUACGUCACGACGGGCCCCGUGACGUGAAGUGUGUGUCUCAGUUUAUCCCAUUCGGGCAUCUUCAAUCUUUU